rnacentral:rRNA from 1 species
GACGAACGCUGGCGGCGUGCUUAACACAUGCAAGUCGAACGGAAAGGCCCUGCUUUUGUGGGGUGCCCGAGUGGCGAACGGGUGAGUAACACGUGAGUAACCUGCCCUUGACUUUGGGGUAACUUCAGGAAACUGGGGCUAAUACCGGAUAGGAGCUCCUGCUGCAUGGGGGGGGGUGGAAAGUUUCGGCGGUUGGGGAUGGACUCGCGGCUUAUCAGCUUGUUGGUGGGGUAGUGGCUUACCAAGGCUUUGACGGGUAGCCGGCCUGAGAGGGUGACCGGCCACAUUGGGACUGAGAUACGGCCCAGACUCCUACGGGAGGCAGCAGUGGGGAAUAUUGCACAAUGGGCGGAAGCCUGAUGCAGCAACGCCGCGUGCGGGAUGACGGCCUUCGGGUUGUAAACCGCUUUCGCCUGUGACGAAGCGUGAGUGACGGUAAUGGGUAAAGAAGCACCGGCUAACUACGUG